rnacentral:rRNA from 1 species
GGGCCCGCACAAGCGGUGGAGCAUGUGGUUUAAUUCGAUGAUACGCGAGGAACCUUACCAGGGCUUAAAUGCAGAACGACAGAGGUGGAAACACCUCCUUCUUCGGACGGUCUGCAAGGUGCUGCAUGGUUGUCGUCAGCUCGUGCUGUGAAGUGUCGGGUUAAGUCCCAUAACGAGCGCAACCCCUAUUUCUAGUUGCCAGCGGUUCGGCCGGGGACUCUAGAGAAACUGCCAGCGUAAGCUGUGAGGAAGGUGGGGAUGACGUCAAAUCAUCACGGCCCUUACGUCCUGGGCUACACACGUGCUACAAUGGUAGGGACAGAGAGUUGCCAACCCGCGAGGGUGAGCUAAUCUUCAAAGCCGGUCUCAGUUCGGAUCGGAGUCUGCAACUCGACUCCGUG